GAGAACAGCAUGCCCAGACAGAUCAAGAGCAAUGAGGAAGUUCGGUAUUAGCCCAGUAGUAGAUUCAGCAUGAACCUUUUGCCCUCAGGGAGCAUCCCAUUGGAAGGGGAGGCUGAUGCAUUUAAAAUAAAUAGCCUUAGAUCAACUCCAAUUAGAGUUCAUUUUUAUAAUUGUCAGUGGGAGGAGAAGUUUGAUAAGAAUAAAGACAGUGCUUUGGAAUGGAAAUAGAGCUUGCAUCCAGGCCUUGAAUAACAGGUAGCAUUGGGAAGGAUCAUAAUUAAGAAAAAGGGAAUUACAAAGAAAGACAGUUUUAAUCUAGUUUGGAGAUUUGACUUGAUAUGAAAGAAAAUAGAAGGUCAUUUAGAAUUUGCAAGCCUGAUGAGUGGGCUGAGAAAUGCAGUGUUGAAAGAUUAAGCUGUCCCAGACAGCCUGGGAACCUCCAUAUUCCACAGGUACAGCCCUAAAAUAGCAAAAUAAAUAAAUAAAUAAAUAAGGAAGAGAUGACUAAGAGCAGUUUAUGGUGGCUCCUAGCCAGUUAGCUUUCCAAACAUUAUGCUUUGGGCAAGACCUACUGUCAUCCCCAGAGUCUCAUCCUGUUCAUCCUUCUGAACAGGAACAUCCUUGAUGGCUGGCAGGCACUGAACCCAUUGCUGCUCUUUAGGAGCUGCUUAGAGGAAGAAUCAGGUGUGGGCAUGAUGGUGGUGGUAAAGCCAAGUGUCAAAACAAUGCUGCAGAGAAACCUAAACAAAUUGUCCACCCGAGUCCCUGCUUCCUCCUCCCAUGUCUCCUACUUCUGAGGCAUGGUUAUGUCACUUCUCACCCUGACCUCUUCCUACAAAGUACCCUCCUCCUUUCUAGCCCAUGUCCCACUACACCCCUGAUUGCUUUACAUCGCAAUGAAACUAGUCCUCUUUUAUUUAAUUUAAUUUUAUUGCUGGAUAGUUGACUUAUAAUGCUGUAUCAGUUUCAGGUGUGCAGCAAAGUGAAUCAGUCUUACAGAUAAAUAUAUCCGUUCUUUUUUCCCAUAUAGGUUAUUACAAACUAUUUGGUGUAUUUCCCCAUGCUUUAUAAUAGGUUCUUGUCAAUUAUCUCUUUUAUACAGCAGUGUGUAUGUGUUAUUCCCACCCUCUCAACUCUUCCCUCUCCUCUGAAACUAUUCUUCUUGAUCCUCCCCCCAAGAGCUCCGAGUUCUCCUCCUAUGGCUCUGUACGGGCUGUUUUUCCUCCUCCCACUGUGGUUGGAAGUAAGCCUCAGACCUGAGUUGGGUGACCACCUCUCAAGGUUUUGUCUGAGACUUUCCUAGCUUUAGCACAUGAGUCUCCUGUCCUGGAUCCUUUAGUCCCAGGCAGUGGUCCCCCUAGCCUUGACAUAGCACUUGCUCCUCCAAUUAAAUCACUGUCUUCCUCUCCCUGGAACCUGUGGAGCACUUGGCUCUCACCUGGUAAUACUGAGCCUUCUCCACUUGACAUCAUAGUCCUCUCCUCUCCCUGCACACACCUCCAUUACCAUAGAAACACUUGGAGGGAAUGUUUCCUUUCAUUAAUAUCACAGAUGGGUUUCAAGGGCCACCUGUGGGCAUCAUCAUAAGAACCUUGUCCUCAAAUGAUGUCUAUGUGGGCAGAGAAGAAAAAAAGCAAAGACCAUACCACAUGGUCAUUAGCCAUACACAUUAUGAGGGUCUUUUGGAAAGAGGACUGUAGGAAACUCUGGGGGACAGGAGAGUUUCCAGUUACAGGUGUCAUGGGAGACUGUGUAGAGAAACAGGGGUUGGAGCUGGACUACGGUGGAUGUGGGUUAGGGGAAUGGGGGUGGGGGCAUUCCAGGUGGAGCCCGCAAGCAACCAGCAGAGUCAGAGCAUUCGGGGAUGUCCCCACACUCACGUCUGUGUCCUCUCUGUGGCUAAAUCUAGGGCCCCCAAAUUAAGCAGUUAUAUUUGUCAAAUGAAAAUGAGCACAUGACAUUUUUAGAAACUUGGAACCUCCACCACUAAAGGCAAUCAUGGCUUUGAACAUCACAUGUGAAAAUCAAGUGAGCUGGAAUCUUCUAAGAAGCCCAGAGAGACACCACAGAGUUUGCCUAAUGAAAACCAGAACUUAAUUUUCAGGUGAUUUCUUAGCUAUGCACCUGGAACUAAAAUCCAUCUUGAAUCCCUUGCAUGAGAGAACCAGAGACAGAGAGGCUAGCCCUUGCAGGGCCCUGGAUCUGUAACUGGGAAGGCUCCCCGGAGGUAGAGAGAUGAGCACAGAGAGCGAAGCCACAGGGAAGACGGAAAUAUCAUUUUAAAUACAAAGUGAUCAAACCACUUUAAUUUUCUAUGUACAAUGUUUUUCUUUCCAGUGACUCAAGGAGGUUGAGGUUGAUAGCUUCUUACAGGACAGAUCACCCAUUUGCAGUCAUCCUUUGCAUUUGAGAAGUAAUUAAACAUUUGUAAAAUGACAGUUUUCAAAUGAAAUGUCUGACCAGAGUCUCCUUCAGGAAUAAUGAUGGGGUUUCUUUGGCUGCAAGUAAUGACACAGAGGACAGAGCCCAGAGGCUGUCCAGCGCAUUCUGUCCUUCACGUACACGUGGCAGCUGUUCCACUGAAGCCACUGCAAAGCCUGCUUGCUCUGAGUUCAUUUCCCCAAUGCUUUUGGUAACCAACUAUCCCUUGAGCUAGCAUAAUAGAAACACUGGCAUUUUGGCCGUGGUUUCAUCCCUCUCCUUGCAGUGUGCCUGGUUAUAAAUGAUGGCCUCAGUGGAGAUGAAGGGCCAGCGUUGUGCAGCUGAACGGUCAAGCUGGCAGAACGUUGUUGUAUCAUUCUGUUUGGGGAAAGCCUGAGUUAAAAGUAACUGGCAAGGAGUUCCCAUUGUGGCUCAGCAGGUUAAGAACCUGAGAUAGUGUCCACCAAGGUGUGAGUUCAAUCCCUGGCCUCACUCAUUAGGUUAAAGAUCUGGUGUGGAUCACAGAUGCAGCUCAGAUCUGGUGUUGCCGUGGCUCUGGCGUAGGCUCAUUGUUACUGCUGUGGUUCCAAUUCAAUCUUUGGCCCAGGAACUUCUGCAUG
rnacentral:lncRNA from 1 species